rnacentral:rRNA from 1 species
UACGUAGGUGGCAAGCGUUGUCCGGAAUUAUUAGGCGUAAAGCGCGCGCAGGCGGUUCUUUAAGUCUGAUGUGAAAGCCCACGGCUCAACCGUGGAGGGUCAUUGGAAACUGGGGAACUUGAGUACAGAAGAGGAAAGCGGAAUUCCACGUGUAGCGGUGAAAUGCGUAGAGAUGUGGAGGAACACCAGUGGCGAAGGCGGCUUUCUGGUCUGUAACUGACGCUGAGGCGCGAAAGCGUGGGGAGCAAACAGG